UACAGAAGGUACGAGCGUUAUUCGGAGUUAAUGGGCGUAAAGGGUAUGUAGGUGGUCAUUCGAUGUAACUGAAAAAAGCUAGGGCGAUCCCUUAGACAACCGGUUUUAAAGUCUGUGACUUGGGGAAAAAAGAGGUAGGGAGAAUUUCCAGAGUAGAAGUCGAAUUCUUAGAUACUGGAAGGACUAUCAUUAGGCGAAGGCACCUUUCCAUUUUUUUCCGACGCUGAGGUACGAAGGCAUGGGGAGCAAACAGG
rnacentral:rRNA from 1 species